GAUGAACGCUGGCGGCGUGCCUAAUACAUGCAAGUCGAGCGAACGGACGAGAAGCUUGCUUCUCUGAUGUUAGCGGCGGACGGGUGAGUAACACGUGGAUAACCUACCUAUAAGACUGGGAUAACUUCGGGAAACCGUAGCUAAUACCGGAUAAUAUUUUGAACCGCAUGGUUCAAAAGUGAAAGACGGUCUUGCUGUCACUUAUAGAUGGAUCCGCGCUGCAUUAGCUAGUUGGUAAGGUAACGGCUUACCAAGGCAACGAUGCAUAGCCGACCUGAGAGGGUGAUCGGCCACACUGGAACUGAGACACGGUCCAGACUCCUACGGGAGGCAGCAGUAGGGAAUCUUCCGCAAUGGGCGAAAGCCUGACGGAGCAACGCCGCGUGAGUGAUGAAGGUCUUCGGAUCGUAAAACUCUGUUAUUAGGGAAGAACAUAUGUGUAAGGAACUGUGCACAUCUUGACGGUACCUAAUCAGAAAGCCACGGCUAACUAC
rnacentral:rRNA from 1 species